UGAAUUAGUCUUUGCAUAGACUUCGCAAACAGUUCCCAUGGGAAGGAAAAAUGAGACUCAUCUCAAAGUAGUGUGGAUGCACAGAGAACCCUCUGAACAACUGAGAAGCAAAAAGGACACACAUAACAAAUGGAAGGAGAGGCAUAUAACCAAGGAAGAGUACAGAAGGACCUAUAGAGAUGGAGUCAGGAAAAGGGACCUAUACAGAUGGAGUCAGGAAAGCUAAGGCACAGAAGGAAUUGGGACUUGCAAGGGAUGCUAAAAACAACCAAAAGUGCUCUUACAGAUAAGUCUGAAACAAGAAGAAGGGCAAGGAAGUGGUAGGUCUGCUGCAUGGAGAAGUUGGUGAAAUGGUAAUGUAUGACAAAGAAGACAGAGCUGCUUAACACCUGUUUUGCAUCUGUCUUCUCCCAUAAGACACAUGUGGCCAAGUUGGGCAACAGAUGUACAAGUGAAGAAAGGAAGAAAAUAUGCUUCAAGAUAGGUAAAGAGAUGAAGUAUAGCAUCCAGAUCACAAGGAGUAUUUGUUCCACUGUAUCCUGCACUGGUCAGACAUUAUUUGGAAUGCUAUAUCCAGUUCUGGGCCCCACAAUUUAAGAAGGAUAUCGACAAACUGGAACUGGUCAGAUGAGGCAGCAAAAAUGAUAAUACUUGUAUGGAGUUCUGUUUGCAGCUUUAGAAAUUUCCUCUCUACUUUCAAGUUGGGCCUGACUGAAGCACUUUGGUUCUGAACACCUUUGUGCUAGUG